rnacentral:lncRNA from 1 species
CCGACGCAACAUGCGGUGAUACACCGACCUGCGGCCCUGCGCUUCGCCAUGGGCGCACCUGCACCUGCUUCCUCAAGCGUGAGCCCCCGUGGCAACCCCCACCCGCCGCCACACUAGCUACCCUAUUGAGUCCCUGCCCAACAGUGGCACGAGCUGCUGUGUAAUUUUCUGCAUUCCCACUACAGAAGACAGAGGAGAACGGCUGCUCGGAUUUUGUCUGAACUUCCUUGUUCUUCACUGUGGCGAUACCUGCUCAGCUUUCCCUCUCUGAACUCCUGCAAAACAAGUAUGUGUGAUGCUAGCUAGAAGAAGAAUUUAGUAAAAAAAAAAAGAGUGUUGCAUGUUUGCUAAUUGUAGUUUCUACCUGAAGCUGCACGUUUCCAGCAAAACAUGCUUGUGUGCAUGUUCAGAUGCUCCUUGCCUUUCAUUUUGAUCUUUAGUUUUCUGAACUGAAUUGGACUGGCUUGUGUCAUCUUCUUCCUAAUUUUCCCAUGUGAAAUUGUAUGAAAAUGAAGGAAUUGUCUAGGUGGACGAGCAGUUCAACUUCAUUUCUCACUGCAGAUACUUUGAUUUUUAUUUUCAAGUAUUAAUUCUCUUGGAUAGUUCAAAAUAUGAUGCAUCUGCUUGAAUCAUACACCACCUCGAAAAGAAUGCCCUGAAAAAGAAAGCAUGCAUAUUCCCAUCUUCCAAUGAGGAUUUCCAUUUAAAUAAUGAAGAAUGCAAAUUGCAGAUAUUUUGGGUUGAAUAACAACCUGCUAUUGCAGAUAUCGACCAUGGUUGAACCUAGGAAAUGGGUUAUUUGACUUCUUUUCCUUUUCCAGAACUGUACUAGUCGUCGUUACCUCUGCCAUGGUCGAAUUCUAGUUGUCUCUGCCGGUGAAGGUUUCUCGUUCAGUCAAGUGUCAACCUCAGCCUGCGGAUUGAUCUAAACUCAUCAGUUAUACUGCCUAUACAACAAAACAGGUCAGUUUAUUUAGAAAUAAAAAUAUAUCAUCAGUUCAACAAAACAACGACUUUUAGCGCAUAUAACUCAUAUACUUACAGAAGUUCAGUAAUAGAAAAAUCAAUAGUUCAACUAUACUUUAUGUGACACUAGUAAAAAAGAAAAAAGUAAUAGUUCAUGAACAUAAAAAAGUGCAACACGUGCUAGAGCAUUUGGCUAAAUCUUUACUUAUUCGUGGCAAUCUGUUAUAGGUAUCUUAUGAUAUCAGUAUAGUCUGCAUCCUUUAAUCACUUCAACCUGAUAAUUCCUUGGCAUAGUGAUCUACCGAGGAGAUAAUUUAGAGCCAAACAUACUCCUAUCUAAAUCUUAUUAUCUAGGUAUGACUAAAUUUUAAUCAUAUGCCAAAAAAUCUGUGUGAAGCGCCAAUGCAUGCCCAUAUCAGUUUAGAUACACAGCAUUCCAUGUAUUUCUUACGAUUUUACAUUUCUUUGGUUUCAUACUUUCAUUUUAUUAAAUCCAUCUCUUCAUGAAAUCCUUACCAGGACAACAUUGCGAGGUGGAAGUGUGCAGCGUUGGAGGGCCCCUUCUUCUCCAUGGACGCGGGAAGGUCACCUGUGAUGAUCCGACAGGACAUGUUACAACUUUGCUGGCUACUGCUCGCGUCCAUUUUAGCUUGUAGCUGCUGCUAUCUGGAAGUAGCCUCUUAGUUCAAUGAUGCAACACUAGUUCCUGGUGUUAAAACAUUUUCUACCAGACCAUUUAUUCAAUUGAGAGAGAUAUGUUGAUUCUUUUGUACAUGUGAUUGCUACUAGAACACCACUCUUGUUUUGUUCAUGUGGUCUUUUGGACUUUGGUCGACUCGUGCGUCUCCGGCCAUCCCCUUCCCCACCUUCAUCUUCGACCAAAAGAUGGCAUUCUCUCUGCCCGGUUGCUGACCUUCUUCCCUCUGCUGCUCCCUCAUCCACUCCUGGAUGAAAAAACUGCAUUACAUAAUGGUGUAGAAUCGCCAGCGUUACUCGUCCUAUUUUGCAUCACUCAUCCUAUCUUGAAAAGAAGUUCAAAUAAAUAGAUGGGAGAAGGUCAUGUACGUGUACUAGGAAAAAGUUUGUGUAAGAAAAUGCAAAAGACAUUAUUAUCGAGGUGUUCAUUUAUAAAAAACACAUAGAGAGUUAAGAGCAUAAAAAUCCUUCAAAAAUAUUAGGGGUCCAUUUGGACAAACAACGGGUAUUCGCAAAAUAGUUUAACAAAAAAAGGAAAAAA